rnacentral:rRNA from 1 species
UACGUAGGGUGCGAGCGUUAAUCGGAAUUACUGGGCGUAAAGCGUGCGCAGGCGGUUCGUCGUGUCCGAUGUGAAAGCCCCGGGCUCAACCUGGGAAUGGCAUUGGAAACUGGCGGGCUUGAGUGUGGCAGAGGGGGGUGGAAUUCCGCGUGUAGCAGUGAAAUGCGUAGAGAUCGUAAGGAAGACCAGUGGCGAAGGCGAGUUUCUGGACAGUUACUGACGCUGAGGCACGAAGGCCAGGGGAGCAAACGGG